AAUUUCACUUAACGGUUUUAUAUGCUAACAUAUUACUUAAAUGUUACAUCGAAGUGAUCAAUAGGAGAUGAUUGAAUGUGUGAAGAUGAAAUAAAUUACUCUUAGUGGGGGUUCCUAUCCAGUUUCAUGGUCUAGCUAACCAUGUACACCAAGUUUUACCCCCGUAAAACUCAACCUCCCUCUUAUCAAAAAUUUUAUAUCACAUUACUAUUAUUGCCAAUGUGCCAUAUCAUCUAAUAAGAUUGGAACCCUCACAGAACUCCCACGGAGACCGGUAUAAGUGCUAGGUAGAGAAAUGGAAGGACAGAUUAAUUAAUUGAGUAGGAGAGAGCUAGAAAGCACAAUGGGAAGGGGGUGGAGGCUGGUGGAGUAGGGAGUGAUAACACCAUUUGUGGGCUCCUUAGUGGAUCAUAAAUUAAUAUAAUGAUGAUUGUAAUGCUGAUUUGGAGGGAAAAAAAGAGUUAGGGAGUGCUGUAUACAUGCGUGCAUGGAGGGACAGCUGGUCGUACGAGGAUGGGAG
rnacentral:lncRNA from 1 species